AGCAGCCGCGGUAAUUCCAGCUCCAAUAGCGUAUAUUAAAGUUGCUGCAGUUAAAAAGCUCGUAGUUGAAUUUCGGGACCAUCAUGUUGGUCGUGCCUCGGUACGUACUGGCAUUGUUGGUUUCUCCCUUCUGACGAACCAUGAUGUCAUUUAUUUGGUGUCGUGGGAAAUCAGGACUGUUACUUUGAAAAAUUAGAGUGUUUAAAGCAGGCUCACGCUUGAAUACAUUAGCAUGGAAUAAUGAAAUAGGACGUUUGAUUCUAUUUUGUUGGUUUCUAGGAUCGACGUAAUGAUUAAUAGGGAUAGUUGGGGGCAUUAGUAUUCAAUUGUCAGAGGUGAAAUUCUUGGAUUUAUUGAAGACUAACUACUGCGAAAGCAUUUGCCAAGGAUGUUUUCAUUAAUCAAGAACGAAAGUUAGGGGAUCGAAGACGAUCAGAUACCGUCGUAGUCUUAACCAUAAACGUAUGCCGACUAGGGAUCGGAUGAUGUUAAUUUUAUGA
rnacentral:misc_RNA from 1 species